ensembl:lncRNA
UGAAACCAGCUACACAGUAAAUUUGCCAGUGUCAAAAAGGCAGUGUCAAACUAUUUUAAUUCUUCCGGAGUUCUUCCAACAAUGGACAGAGUAAAAUUGAACCAGAAAACUUCCAGUGUUGGUGAAAAUAAUCGGAGUUAACAGAGGUUUUACUCUGUCAGUGUUAUUGACUCUCUCAGGCCCUGAUUCAACACUGAUUAGAGCAAGAUACCUUCCAGAGUAUCACAAAAAAUACUCUGGAGAGCCCCGCCCACCAACUUUCCCGGUCAAACUGAGAAUGUGGAUUCUGGCAUCGCCAUCUUCCUCGCAUCGAAAUACUGUGGUAAGUCUUUCUACUAUAAACUAUUCCCGUUGUUUUUCUUCAUUCCAGUAGAAUCUGUAUAAGAAUAAAGGGACGUAUUCAUUCACCACACUAGUCAAUGUUGGGUACGUGUCUUCAAAUACCGAAUUUCAAAUGGCUAACGUGAUUAUCGGGUCGGCGGUUAGCUUAAAUGUAGCAGCCACAUGUCUGACCACCAACACCAAACUGAACAAAAACGACACGAGGUAACGUUAAUGUCAGCGAGGACGAGCUGUCGUGGUGUGUUAUGUGUCAUGCUUGCACAUUUAUUUCAGUAAAAUGACGACAAAAAUUUGUUGAAGCAGUCAUAUUUAUUAUUUCUAUUUGAGCCGGAGCAAAUCGCUUUAGCGUCACGUCACAAUUUGGUCGAGCAUAGCGGGACAUGUCGCGGACAUGCGGACGUGCUCAUAGGACCCGCUAGUUCACCGGUAGACGGCGGAAUGCACCGAGUCGACCCAGUUAACGUGAACGGAGCCGCGGCUCCGAGAGGCUCGGUUCCCGUUAGCUGCUGCUGUAGCCAUAGACAUAUAAAGAGUAGACGCUGCAUUGGCUGCUGAGGCGCAAACAAAUAUUUUUUUAUUAUAUUAUAUACCAGAAUAUUAUUACUGUUACGCCUACUAUGAAUAUUAAAAUACGCCGAAUCAUGUUUUCGGUGUCAUGCCUACAAAAUCCCGUGAACAUCCGCUUUUGUAUUCAGCGAGUGACGCGCUGACACUUCGUUGCGCCAGCUGGCACUGAGAGGAGCGGGUGACCGGUCCAAGCUGGCGGCCCCGCGGCUCGUCAGCACCACUAGGCAGCAGCGGUCGAUGUCUAUUCUUUAUGUCUAUGGCUGUAGCUGCUGCUUAAUUUAUGCUUCCACGUUACGGCGGCGGCGGGUGUGGCUGUGUGUUUCUGCGGGUGCCGAAUCCUUGAUUGUUCUUUAAUGUACUGUGGUGCUCUGGUGAUACCAUCAUGUUGAUCAAAACAGUCCUGUCAUCCAGCACCAACCAAGAUCUUUGCCACUGUGAUAAGAUGUGAGCUUUACAUGUUUUAGGUUUACUUUUGAUGCCAAUAUUUCAUGUUUACUUCGAAUAAAUAUGUAUUACAGUAUGGAUACAAUUGUCUGUGUGUUUUUCCCCCUGCAUAGAUAUGCAACACUG